UGGCACGCCUGAGGUCACGGUGGCUAGCAUCGAGGAGCCUUUGGUCACCAGUGUAGGAGUGGGUGGUUGUCAUGGUACCCUUGAUAAUACCUAUCAUGUAAAAUGAGUUUUCAUUGGCAUAGUGAAAAGAAGAUUACUUUUGAACCUUGAUCAUGUAUAAACUUAGUCAUAGAAAAUGUGAAUUUCAUUUCCAAGUUGGGAGAUUUUGACAGAACAGGACAACAAUAUAGUAUCAUUUAUCUAAUUAUUGUGCUAUUCAGCUUAUAAUUAUACAAGAAUUAAGAACAUCAUUGAGUGAUAUAGGUUAGAAGCAUACAAACAAAGCAAGAUUUACAACACUCUUUGACACUAUUAUUAUUUGAUUGAGUUAAUGUGGGUUCCAAUGAAUAGACACAUGAAAUUCAACUACUAUCAAAGAAACUGUUGAAAAGGGUGUUAAAAAAUGAUUUCUGGCAUCUUUCAUCCAAAAUAUCCAAGGAAUAUAUCAUGAUACAUAUUUGAUACUCAUUUGGCAACUAUUUCGAAGUAUUAGUGAUUCUUAGUAUUUGAACUUUGUUAAUAAGGUUUUAAGACACAUUAUUCAAUAAUUUCAUAAUAAGUUGAUAAAGAAUGUGGAGACAAGGUAAAUUACCAAAUUUUUCAUCAAGGACUUUGACAAAGGGGGCAAGGCAGUUAGUGGUGCAAGAAGCAUUGCUGAUGAUGGUUUCAUCUGGGUUGUAAGCAUCAGCAUUGACACCAACCACAUAGGUUGGGAUGUCUCCUUUGCCAGGUGCUGUGAUUAGUACCUUCUUAGCACCUGCUUGAAUGUGUUUCCCUGCACCUUCUCUGUCCACAAACACCCCAGUUCCUUCGAUCACCAAGUCGAUCCCUAAGUCCCUGCAACACCCGAACACACAUUAGUGCAUAUUAUUUCUCUUCUCUGUAUUCCAUAUUCUUCAAAGUUGAGAAAAUUGGUUGCAAUGCUGCAAAGAACUUUCAGGUCCGUUUGCGAGCGAGUUGAGUUUUAAAGGGGAAGGAAUGGAAAAUGAAGGUUUUAGAGUCAUGAAAUACACUUAUAAGAUGAUUCUAAAGCCUUCAAUUUCCCUUCAUUUCCCUACAAAAUUCAACUCGCAAACGGAUUCUUAAGUACCAUUUGGUGCAUAGACAAAAAACAGGACUGAACAAGAAUAACUUAAGGUACCAUUUGGUGCAUAUACAAAAUAGGACUGAACAAGAUGUUUUGUUCUAUUCUCUUUGGUUCCACCUCUUUCCGUGGAAUUAAAAUGUACUGUUUUUUAACUUCAUGUUAUGUUCUGUUCUAAUUACAAAACACAACAAACAUAGGGUACAACAAAUGUUCUGUUGCAUCCUAUUAUGACAUGAUUAUGAAGCUUACUUCCAGGGGAGGUUUGCAGGGUUACGAUCAGAAACAACUUUGAUGACCUUUCCAUCAACAGAAAUACCAUUAUCACCAACAGGCUUGACAUCGGCGUCGAAAAUUCCAAGAGUGGAGUCAUACUUGAGAAGGUGAGAGGCCUGUUUGACACCUCCAGUGUCAUUGAUGGCAAUGAUAUCCAACGGAGAGUCCUUACGACCGUGCCAGCACCUCAAGAAAUUCCUUCCAAUCCUACCAAAUCCGUUUAUGGCCACCUUCAGUUUUGCUUCUACUACACCUUUCUUGUACCCUCCGGUGCUUCCAACCUUCAAAAUUUAAACAAAUGUAAUGUUGUUAAACAGAUCAUUAAAUAUUUAAAGUCAUGAGUUCAAAUCGUGGAAACAGUCUAUCUGCUUGUCGAGGUAAGGCUGCAUAUAUCUACCAUCCCAGACCACACUAAGUGGGAGCCUCGUGCACUGGUCCACCUACUUUUAGGCAUUGUGAAAGGCCUAGUUCAAACACUAAUAUAACUAGUUCACCAUGGAUGGAAGAAACGCAGCAUGCAGUCAUGCACCAAGUGAUGAUAAUGUACUCAUGGGUCAAGGACCAAGUCUAUCAAAACCUUAAGCUAAUGUAAGGUGAAGGCUCAUGAUUACUUUUAUAUUAGCCAUGCUGCAAUAUGCAUAAGAGUCAUUUAUAGUUUAUACCUGAAUAUUGGAUAUGUACAUAUCAUCUUUACCAUUUUCUGAAAUUCAACUUGUAUUUAGAAGAAUAAUGGUAGCAAGGAUUGAACUCAAACAUUACAUUCUAGAGGCUCUAUACUAUCAUAUUAUGAACCAAUUCUCUCCAAAAUGUUUAUUUAAAUGUUUUUUAAUUACAAAAUAAUUUAUACUGCAAUGGCACUGCAACUGUGACCGCAAUCAAAACCAUACCCCCAAUUUAAAAAUUGAAUGUGAUAUAAGAUAUUAAUAACCACUUGAUAUGUCAAAUAUUGAAUCUAAAGGACUUCGUCUAAUUGUCUUUACAUAACUUCGGGUGCAUACAUUAUUGUUCAACAUAAGAUCAUUCAUAAAAGUCAAUAACUGAACCAUUUUAAAAUGUUAGCCCUUGUAUUUAGCGAUUAUUUAUGAUCAUUUUUUUAGUAUCUACACAUUCUACUUACUGCAUAGGUCUGGAAGGAAACAACAGAAUGCAAAUCCUCUGAAGUUUUUCUAGUAAAGGUGACAUAGCUUGAAGAGUUACGUAGACCAGAGAACUCAGAAAUACCUUUCCCAUUUACCUGAAAAAAUGUAACAUGUUAUGUAAAUCAAUUAUAGACAACUACAACUAGCUUAAGCACUAUAGGGCAAUGCAAAUAUCAGUUUCUAACGUAUCAUGUUUGUUAAUGAAAGUUGGAAUAAGAAAAUGUACAAUAUAUGGAACCUUAAGAGAUGGUUUGGCUACAGAAAUAGUAGCCGAAGCCAUGAUUCAGUUAGAGCAGUAGUGUAAAAAGCUUUGAGGAUUUUCAUGUUGCAUUACAAGUUUAAUAGGGAACCAAGACGAGGUAACGUGGAUGUGUGGCUGUGACUCAUGAGACAAAGUGAGGAUGAGAUUUUGGAUAGCCUACUCAUUCAAUGAAUGGUUGUCAUUGGUGCUUUCUUCAUGCCCUUAUGACUUAAAGAGUCCAAUCAUCUAUCUAAAUUCUAUGUAAAGUGCUUUAGAAAAUUAUGCACAAUAUAUUCAAAUUCAAGAGAGUUAAACAUAUUUAUUAGUAAAUGAAUUUAAAUGAAUACAAUUUAAAAGAUAAUAUUGAUUAUAUUCAAUUGAUAUCAAUAGAUAUAUCUAUUUGGAUGAAUAUUCAAUCCAUCAAAAAAUAAAUAUUUACAAAUGAUGUUUUUUCUUUUCAAUUUCAUUCAUUAUCUCGCCUCUAAAUUUUUUGUAGUGUUAUUAAAUUGAGAAUAAUUAUAGGAUAUGUGGAUGUGAUUAAUAUUAAAAAUUUGUCCUUAAAUGAAUAAUAUAAGUAAAUAUACGUUACAAAUUUAUAAGUAGAACCUUAAAGGUGAGAAAAAUAUCGCAAAAAAUAAUUCUUUGAAAAGUUAAAAAAAAUCACUUUUUAAAAAAAAAAAGUGUUUUUUGAAAAAAAAAAACUAUAGCACACUUUUUCAAAGGUGGCAUUUGUUACUACCUAAUUUGCUUUGACAUUAAAAAAAACUAUCUAUGUAACUAUUAUUCAUAAUAGUAAUAUAGGUAGAACAAAAUUUUGACUUUGUGUCGGUUAAAAGAAAUUAUUAAUGUAUUACUAAAAUUAGAAUGGAAAUCAUUAAAAAUCAUAUGAAAGGUACAUAGUACCGUAUAAUUGAAAGAAUGAACGUUUCAAAAAAAUGAUUUUAAAAGUUGUUUAAAAAAUGUUUGAUUGAAAUAAAUGUUUUUAAAUAAUUGUUUUUUCAAAUGUGUUUUUAGUUUACAAUUAAAAAAAUCAAAUAGAUCGAAUAUUCAUUCAUCCAAUUGAUUAAAAUUAUUGGAUAUUUAUCUAUCCAAUCCAUUAAAAUGAUUCAUUGAUAUAAUGAAAUGCAUCCUUUAAAUUUAGAUAUGAAUCAAAAUACAAUUUAAAAAUAUUUAUAUAGAGAAAUUGAUGACUUUUUGUUCAUUGGGAUCAAAAUCCGUAUUUAUCCAAAUCUAUUGAUUUUUCAAUUGCUAUUCAUAUUCAUGUCCGGAUGACUUAAGAGUCUAGUCAUCUAAAGUCUCCCAUUUUUCCAUUGGAUUUUUUUUAUUAUAUUCACCUUCUAUGUGAUGGUCUGAAUAUUAAACUUAAAAUGUUCUUUAAUCUUAUAUUUUAUAGUUAAAUUUUAAUUUGGUCAUUGAGUAUAAAGAAUGUACUGUAAUCCUUUGUUUUUAAAAAUAAUAAUUCAAUUUUAUCCAUAUUUAAUUUUUAUGAAUAUAUAUAUAUAUAUAUAUAUAUAUAUAUAAAUUUUCUAUGUAGAUCCCUAUCUCCUCAUUGGAAAGUGAAUAUUUUUAACAAAACUCUUCUAUUUUCUUUUAUUUACUUUAUUAUUUUCAUCCUCUUCGUUUUCAUCAUUUAUCUUUUUUAUCAUUUUGUCGUUAUAAUGUUUUGAAUUUCAAUGAUAAAAACAAGAUUUUUGUAAUUAGAAAGGGAUUUGAAACAAUAAUUUGAUAUAUUUAUGUAAUAAUCUAACACUUAUAUGAAAAAUAAUUGACAAACAUUAAAAUAAUAGCGGAUUAAGUGAAUAUUUUUGAUUGAAUGACCAAUUUAAACUUAAAAAACAUAAAAGAUCAAAAUAGUACUUUAACCAUUAACAAUAUGACAUAGAGCACUAAAUUCAUAUAAAAAUGAAUUUUAAGGUUAAAUUGUGAAGAAAUUCUUGUUCUUGAUUUUCGUUUGGUUUUCAUGAAGACACUAAGGUAAAAUGAUUAAAGACUUAGAAGCAUAUUGAACAAAUGAUCAAAACUUUUGGCUUUGUAAGAUGUGUACUUUAUGCUAAAGUAUUAUCACUUUUAAGUAUUGGCAAAUGCUCAUAGGAAUUUUUUUGUUUUGAAAAUAUCAAACUUGGAUUGAAAAGAUAAACUUAAAUUUUCAAAAAAUAAUGAGUUACAGAGUAAUCAGUUAUCCAAAUAGAGUAUCAACUUACCAAGAAAAAAUAACUAAGAGUAAUUUAUUACUCAAGGAGACAAAAGCUUUUGGUAACCGAUUAUACCAUUCUAAUAAUCAAUUACUCAUAAUUGUUACAAUAAUUUUCAUAUUCAAACUGAAACAAAUUCUACCAAAACAAUUGGAUGACAUUCUAAUCAAUUUUCAUCUUCUUGUAUGAGUAUAUUGGAUGAUUGAAAGCCUAUUUAAAGGUACUAGACAUUCAAUUUCAAGAGACAUCAAUCAUACUACAUUUUCUACAAUAUUCUAUACACUUUUACAAACAACUUGAUCAAACUUUUCGAUUUUCUAAACAGUUGUUUAAGUAUUUUUCUUCCAAGUUUUCUGAAUUUAAAAACACUUAAACAUUUGUGUAUUCCUUCUAGUGAUUGACAUACAAUGAUUUUGAGUGUUAAAUUGUUAUACAAUCUUAACAAUCUUAGACCUAUAUACAAAGUUCUUCAUCUACCAUUUUCUGUAUAUUUCACCAUAGGGUGUGGUGAGAGUUAAAGAGUGAAAUUUAGAAGUGGUGUACUUCUAUGUAGUGAGUUUUGGUGAGUGUAAUCAGAACAAAGUCUCAGGAUGAAUUUUGUAACAAUUGACAUUCAUCAUAGUAAAAUCUCUUAUGGUUCAUAAGAGGAUUGAGCUAGCCUUUGGUGGACUAGAAGGUGAAUCAUGAUAAAUAUAUCUCUCUCAUUUCUACAACACAUUUACUCUUAAACUUUUCGUAAGUUUAAAAAAUGUACAUUAUGUGCAGAAAAAACUAGAAAAUUAAUUCACCUCACCCCUCUUAGUUUGUCGUCUUAACUUACAUAAAUAUGUUUUCAAUAGACAAUGAAGUUUGGUCAAUAUGGUAAAUAAUUGGCUAAUAGCUAGCGCUUAAGGACUUUGUUGGUAGGUUAUUUGUAAGAAUUCAUAGAGUCGCAAAGCCUACCCUUUCCGUGGAGAACCCUCACGAUCAAUUAACCUAAACUUUUUAUUCAUGUAUAUGAAGUUGGCACAUUCAAGCACAAAAAGGAAGUUGAAUUAUGUUAAUUUUUAAAAUUAUUCUUUAAUACAAACACUUUCCAAAAGCAAUUAUAUAAUGGCAGAUAUAAUUUUUUUUGAAAAUAUUGUCACAACAAGUUCAAUUUACCACAGUUACAAAUAAUUGAAAGCACUAAAAAGUUUAGUGGCAAAGAAAAUAACACAAGUAUUUGUAUACUAUUUUACUAUCAAUAGUCUAAGGUUGAAGAGUCUACACCCAAAGCACUUGUCGCUUCACCCCAAAACCGAAGAGAGCAAGGAAGCUAGUCUUGGCAAUCGAGGAGGAGACUAAUGAUGAUAUUCUCCCCAUUUCUUUAAAGAUCCAAAAAUUGUAUCUAGCAUUGUUGCUUCAACGGUAACCAAUAAGAAGAGGUCUCAAAAAGCUAAGUCUCUAUUGUAUUUAGAGGUAACUCCCUACAGUAACGUUCCUAUUGAUUUAUUGUGGAAACUCUAGUAGAUAGCUUAGAUCAUUCUUCGAAAUAAAAAAUCACCAAUCCUGCAAGGCCUACCCUAUCCUUGGAGAACCCUCACGACCAAUUAAUCUAAAUGUUUUAUUCAUGUAUAUUAAGAUGGCACAUUCAAAUACAAGAAGGGAGUUGAAUUAUGUUUGUUAAGUUUUUGAAAAUAUAUAAUGGCAGAUAUAAAAAUUAUUUUGAAAAUAUUACCACAAUUAUAAAUGGCAGAAUGGAUCGCCCCUAACCAUUUUGUCUGUGUCCCCAAAUGCCCGCAAAAUAUUAUCGAGGUGCGGGCAUGUCCAAAUUGUUUUAAUAGACAAAAUGACAUGCCAUACUCAUUUUAAAAUUGGAUAACAGGCAUGUGGGCAACUCGUGGACAUUGAUGAUAAUAUCAAAAUAAAAAAUAAUAUAAAAAAUAAAAACAAAUUAAAUAAAGUAGUUGAAGAGAAGAUAAUUUUUUUUUUAAAAAACAUUGGUAUUUUAUAUGAGGUUGACCAAAUUAUAUUACAUCACAAUUGUUUGAGACAUUAAAUCACAUUACAUCAUAAUAUAUUUGAUAUUUUCUUGUUUUUUCCUUAUAUUAUGUUAAUAGGUUGCGUGUCCGUAUUGUCCAACAGAAAUGUCUUCAGGCUUGGCGGGCAAAUUGGUCGGGAAAGUGGGCAAAUGGGUCGAGCAAAACAUGCAAAUACACAAAAUUUGUAUGCUCUGCCUGCAAAAAAUUGCGGGCUAUACGGAUUGAUCCACAUAUAUUACACAUUUAGCCAACAAUAACCACAACAACUUCAAUUCAUAGUGGUUACAAAUAAUUGAAACCAAUAAAGAUUUUAGUGGUAGAGAAAAUAACGCAAGUAUUUGUAUAAAGUUUUACUCUCAAUAGUCUAAGGUUGUAGAGUCUACACCCGAAACAAUUGUUGCUUCACCCUAAUACCGAAGAAAGCAAGGAAUCUAAUCUUGACAAUGGAGGAAGAGAAUGAUGAUGAUAAUCUCCUCAUUUCUUUCUAGAUCCAAAAACUUGUAUCUAGUAUUGUUGCUUCAACAAUAACAAAAAAGAAGAGGUCUCACGAGGCCAAGUCUCCAUUGCCUUUAGAGUUCCCCACACUAACGUUCUAUCGAUUUAGUUGUGGAAACUCUAGAAGACAGCCUAGAUCAUUCUUCGAAUACUCUAUCAUAACCUACGCAACAAUAACAAAUUUCUCAAGGCCUACCCUAUCCUUGGAGAAUCCUCAUAGCCAAUUAAACUAAACGUUUUCUUAUGUAUAUUAAGUUGGCACAUUCAAACACAAGAAGGGAGAGGAAUUAUGUUUGUUAAGUUUUUGAAAUUAUUCUUGAAUAAAAACUUUUUCCAAAAGCAAUUAUAUAAUGACAAAUAUAAAAAUUAUUUUGAAAAUAUUACCACAAUUAUAAUGGCAGAACGGGUCGCCCUAACCAUUUUGUAUGUGUCCCCAAAUGCCCGCAAAAAAUUAUCGAGGUGCGGGCAUGUCCAAAUUGUUUUAAUGGACAAAAUGGUAUGCCCUCCUAAUUUAAAAUUGGAUAAUAGGCAUGCGAGCAACUCGUGGACAUUGAUGAUAAUAUCAAAAUAAAAAAUAAAAACAAAUUAAAUAAAGUAGUUGAAGAGAACAUAAUUUUUUUAAAAACAUUGGUAUUUUAUAUAAGGUUGAUCAAAUCAUAUUACAUCAUAAUUUUUUGAGAUAUUAAAUCACAUUACAUCAUAAUACAUUUGAUAUUUUCUUGUUUUUUCCUUAGAUUAUGCUCAUAGGCUGCAUACUCGCAUUGUCCAAUAGAAAUGUCUUCGGGCUUGGCGGGCAAAUGGGUCGGGAAAGUGGGCAAAUGGGUCGAGCAAAAUAUGCAAAUGGACUAAAUUUGUACGCUCUUCCUGCAAAAAAUUGCGGGCUAUACAGAUGGGCCCACAGAUAUUACCCAUUUUGCUAACUAUAACCACAACAACUUCAAUUCACAAUGGUUACAAAUAAUUGAAACCAAUAAAGAGUUUAGUGGUAGAGAAAAUAACACAAGUAUUUGUAUAAUGUUUUACUCUCAAUAGUUUAAGGUUAUAGAGUUUACACCCCGAAGCAAUUGCUGCUUCACCCCAUUACCAAAGAGAGCAAGGAAGCUAGUGUUGACAAUGGAGGAAGAGACUGAUUACGAUAAUCUCCUCAUUUCUUUCAAGAUCCAAAAACUUGUAUCUAGUAUUGUUGCUUCAAUAGUAACCAAUAAGAAGAGGUCUUACAAGGCUAAGUCUCUAUUGCCUUUAGAGGUAACUCCCUACACUAACGUUCCUAUUGAUUUAGUUGUCGAAACUCUACUAGAUAGCUUAGAUCAUUCUUCAAAUACUCCAUCAUAACCUGCACAUCAAUCACCAAUCCUACAAGGUGAUAUAAACCAAGGGGGACAACCUAUGAUUGUGGAGAACAAUCUUAUAAGUAGGAGAGUCACUUGAAGCCCACAUUCGUGGAAGGAAAUUAUGAUAGUUUUUAGUUAUUAUUUUAUUACAUGAAUAAAUGAGAAUAAUUCUCAUGGGUAGUUUUUGCCAUGUCAUUAGAAUUAAUAUUGUCUCAUGGUCCAAUAAAGGGCAAAAAAUUAAUGCACUACCAACAAUUAAUGUUGAGUAUGUGUCUAGUGCUACUUGUUGUUCUUAAUUGUUAUGAUCAAGCACCAACUAGAGGACUAUAACACAUUUUUAAGCCAAAUUCCCAUAAUAUGUGAUAAUAUUAUAGCUAUUAAUCUUUCAAAGGGUCUAAUUUUGCAUUCUAGGACGAAACAUAUAAAAAUUGAGCAUCAUUUCUUUAGUGAUUUCUAGUAGAAAGACAUAAUCAAUAUUUAAUUUGUUCUCUAAUCAUCUGUUGACAAAUAUUUGUACAAAACCCCUACUUGAGGUUCGAAUCAUUUUCAUUUGAAAAACUUUAAUAUCAUUAAUAUUGGGGAUGUAUUCACUUAGUCGUCUACUAGUCUUGCCUGAUAUUGGAUAUUCAAUGCAUCUUAUAGUUGUUGCUUUAAGUGGACUCGUCCAAUGUAACAUUGGUCUUGUAUUAUUUGUCAUGAUAGUCUAGUCUAGUGCGUAUUAAAUGUCAUUAAUGUGAUUGUAAUUCUAAUGAGUUAAUUGCAUAUUCAUUAUAGUAUCAGGUAGAUUCUUCCAAAUUCUGCUUACAUAUUUACAUCUAUGUGGUUUUACUGGCAGUUUCACAUUCUAGUGGUUAUAAAUGCUUAAGUGAAUUAAAUAUUGAGUUUAUAUCUCACAUUACUAAUUCUGCACUACCAAUACCGUUAAACACUCUCAAUCCCAUAUAGGUUGGGAAGGCUUGCUAAGUAAAGAAUACUUAGUUAAGUUUAGAGCUUCGAGAAACUUGGUCUUAGUUAAGUUUAAAGCUUGGAGAAACUUGGUCUAGAAAUAAUACAUAAUUAUUAGACUCUGAAGAGACUCGAUGUAAGAAAAACACUUGCAUGAAGAGGUGUUGGAUACUUGUAAGUUGUUGGGGGAAUAAUGAAAAAUCUUUCUAUGAGAAGGGACUGUAAUUGCAAGCAUGAAUCACAUGAGUAGAUUGAAUAUGUAAGCAUGCAUCACAUAAAUUUUGAUGGAGACAAAGUUGUAGACAAAGGAUCAAGACAAAGUCGAAGACAAAGGUUGUAGACAAAGUUGUAGGAGGUGAUAAAAUAGUGAUAGGAGAAAUGGGAGAGGGGACUUGUGUAGAAGGAGACAGAGGGAGACAUAGGGUGAGGAAUGGAAUGUGGAGUAGGAAAAUGAGCACCACGUGGUGAGGAAGCAUAAUCAAUGGAAUGAAAAGGAGACUCAUGAUAGAUGACAGAAGGAUGAGGGAUGUCAGUGUGAUGAGGAGUAGAAACAGAAGUGUGAGGGAGAUUAGCAUAAGGGAAUUUAGACUCAUUGAAAAACACAUCUUUUGAUUUAUAAAUUCUCCCUUCUUUGGAAAGGCAUUUAUAUCCCUUAAGACUUAAGGAAUAGCCAGGAAAUGUGCACUCUGAACUCCUAGGAUCAAGUUUAUGCUUAUUAAAGGGUGUAAGUAAAGGAAAGCAAGCACACCCAAAAACUUUGAGAAAAUUAUAAUCAGGUGAGUGGCCAAACAUAACUUGAUAAGGAGAUCUUCUGAUAAUCUUUUUUACAUAUCUUCUGGUCGUGGUACAUUUUGACAUUUUCCUUGUAUAAAUUGGAGGACUCAUAUGCAACGAGACUCAUCUCUUCCAAUUGUUGUAAUUGCAGCUUCCUUUUCUCACUGGAUGCCUUCUUAUUCACAUUGAAGAAUUUAAGAGCCCCAAAUGCCUUAUUUUCAAGCUCCAUCGGGAGAUGAUGACAUGUUUUUCCAUAGACUAGCUGAUAGGGGAUAAUCCAACAGGAGCCUUGAAUGUCAUCCUGUAAGCCCAUAGUGCAUCAUCCAAUCGUAGAGACCAAUCCUUUCUUAUUGUUGAAACUAUUGUCUCUAGGAUCAUUUUUAUCUCUCUAUUGGAUACCUCCGAUUGUCCAUUUGUUUGCAUAUGGUAGGAUGAUGCCACCUUGUGUUGGACCCCAUAAUGUUGAAGAUAUAAAGGAAGAAAGAAUCAAGGAGUUCUUUGUUUGAGAGUUCUGAACAUGAUGAUGAAUUUCCCUGGAUCAAACUCCAACUUCUUCUCACUUUGAUGAUUGAUGCAUGCAACAGUAACAACCAGACAUGGUAGAAAUAGAAAUUCAUGUUAAAUUUGAGUACUCAACAAAAACAUUGCAUUAAUAGCAUCCUAAAAUCAAAGGAAACACCCACAAAAAUUUUCAAUCCCGAAUAUACCGUAGUCAUGUAUUACAUGCAAUAGUAAAAACCGUAAAUGGAAUAAUUGGAAAUUCAUGUUGAAUUUGAGUAAACAACCAAAACUUUGCAUCAAUAACAUCCUAAAUCCUAUAUUUCAUGAAUUAAAAUACUUAAACAAUCUAAAUAAUUCCUAAGAUAGAAAUAAAUCCUAAACCUAUAUGAGAAUGCAAUCUCAUUUACUUGAUUCAAUGGAAAUAAGAUAAAUCUAAGUAGAAAGUAAUCUAAGGACAUAAAUGUCCUUCUCAUCAACCCUCUCUUAGGUCAAUUGUGUCCUUUGAGACCUUAAGAACCCUUGCCUUGGCCUUGGCCCUAGUUGUAGGACCAUCAUGACUUCCUUUUCCCUUGGGAUCAAAGGUUGUUGUAGGAGGGUUUACAUCAAUUAGGAUGAGGAUGAUGACAAGGGUAAGGAUGAGGAUGAGGAGUGUAACACCCCAGUUAUGACAUGCGACCUCCUAGGCCCAUGAAUAUACUGAGUGUGUCACCCACAAGCUUAAAUACUCCCUGCAUUAUUUUAUUCCCCUCCUAGGGGAGCCUUCCGCUACUCGAACCCGUGACCUCAGGGAUACAUAGUCACUAUGCCACUGAGUCGCUACCAUUAAGCUAGACUAACUUAAUGGUAGCUACCCAGUGGUAUAGUGACUAUUUAUACCUGAGGUCACAGGUUUAAGUCGCGGAAGGCUCCCCUUGGAGGGGAAUAAAAUACUUCAGGGAGUAUUUAAGCUUAAGAGGUGACACACUCAGUGUAUUUAUGGGCCUGGAAGGUCACAAGUCAGGGUUGGGGUGUUACAAUAAAAAAGGCGCCUUUUUAUUGUAACACCCCAGUUCUAACAUGCGACCUCCCAGACCCAUGAAUAUACUAAGUGUGCCACCUCUUAAGUUUAAAUAUUCCCUGCAGUAUUUUAUUCCCCUCCAAGGGGAGCCUUCCGCGACUCGAACCCGUGACCUCAGGGAUAAAUAGUCAUUAUACCACUGAGUCACUACCAUUAAGCUAGCGUCUCAGUGGUAUAAUGACUAUUUAUCCCUGAGAUCACGGGUUCGAGUCGCAGAAGGCUCCCCUUGGAGGGGAAUAAAAUACUGUAGGGAGUAUUUAAGCUUAAGAGGUGGCAUGCUCAGUAUAUUCAUGGGUCUGGGAGGUCGCAUGUCAGAACUUGGGUGUUAUAAGGAGGAGGAUGAGGAUUAGGAUGAGGAGGAGAAGGAGGAUGAGUAUGAGGAUGAGAAUAGGAUGAGGAUGAGGACGAAGAUGAGGAUGAGAACGAAGACGGGGAUGAGGAUGAGGAUUAGGAUAAGAUGAGGAUGAGGAUGACGAUGAGGGUAGGAUGAGGAGGAGGAUGAGUAUGAUGAUUACGAUGAGAAUGAGGAUGAGGUUGAGGAUGAGGAUGAUGACGAUGAUGAUGAUGAAGAUGAGGAUUAGGAUGAGGACGAGGACGUGGACGAGGAUGAGGAUAGCAUGAAGAUGAGGAUGAGGACGAGGAUGAGGAUGAGGAGGAUGAGGAUCGAAUUAGGAUGAGGAUGAUGAUUAGAAUGAGGAUGAGGAUGAAGAUGAGGAUUAGGAUGAGAAUGAGGAUGAGGAUUAGGAUGAGGAUAUGAUGAGCAUUAGGAUAAGGAUAGGACGAGGAUGAGGAUGAGGAAAAGGAUGAAGAUUAGGAUGAGGACGAGGAUAAGAAUGCGGAUGAUGAUGAGGAUGAGGAUGAGGAUGAGGAUGAGGAGGAGGAUAUGAUGAGGAGGAGGAUAGGAUGAGGAUGAGGAGGAGGAGGAGGAUAGGAUGAGGAUGAAGACGAGGAUGAGGGUGGGGAUGAGGAUAGGAUGAGGACGAGGAUGAAGAUGAGGAUGAGGAUGAAGAUAAGGAUUAGGAUGAGGAGGAGGACGUGGACGAGGAUGAGGAUGAGGAUAAGAUUAGGAUGUGGGUGAUGAUUAGAAUGAGGAUGAAUAUGAGGAUUAGGAUAAGGAUUAGGAUGAGGAUGAGGAUAGGAUGAGGACUAGAAUGAGGAUUCAAAUGAGGAUAUGAUGAGGAUGAGGAUGAGGAUGGGGAUAAGGAUGAAGAUUAGGAUGAGGACGAGGAUAAGAAUGAGGAGGAGGAGGAUGAGGAUGAGGAUGAGGAUGAGGACGAGGACAAGGACGAGGAUGAGGAUGAAUAUGAGGAUGUGAUUGAGGAUGAGGACGAGAACAAGGACGAGGAUGAGGAUGAAUAUGAGGAUGUGAUUGAGGAUGAGGAUGAGGAUGAUGAUUAGGAUGAGGACGAGAAUAAGGAUGAGAUGAGGAUAGGAUGAGAAUGAAGAUGACGAUUAAGAUGAGGAGGAGGAUGAGGAUUAGGAUGAGAAUGAGGAUGAGGAUGAGGAUGGCAAAGUUUUGGUUGUAUACUCAAAUUUAACAAGAAUUUAUACUUUUGUCGUCUGGUUAUUACUGUUACAUGUAGUGCAUCACUAGGGGAAAUUCGGGCUCUUUCCAUUGAAUUUUGAUAAAUUAUAUUUUUUGCAUAACUUUUGAACUGUGUAUCAGAAUUGGACAAAUUUUGUAUACAUUUCGAGUAGAAAAAUCCAUUUUUCUGACAUUUCCUACUACGUCUGAAAACUCAUUCCGGAAAAUUCAAAAAACCAAAUUUCUAUUUCUUUUAUAUUUUUGAAGAUUUAUAUUGAAUUUGUCUUGAAAUUUUCUUGUAUACAAGUUCAAAGACAUGCUUCAAGACAUGGACAAAUCAACAAACAAAAAAGUCAAGGUCAAGGCUCAAGAUCACUCAAGCUUAAUGAUAAGUGUAAAAAGUAUACACUUUUCACCAUCAUUUUAUGGCACUUAUCCAAUGCAAGUUGUAGUAAACCAACUUAAAUUAACACUUUUUAGGUGAAUUUUGCAUGAUUGAAUAAAUUAGUUCUUUAUUAAUUCUUGUCCAAGUUUUCUUUGAGUUUUUUAGGAAAUUGAAUAUUAAAGAAUAAAUCCAAAGAUGGACAAGAAUUCAAUCAAAAAUUCAANNNNNNNNNNNNNNNNNNNNNNNNNNNNNNNNNNNNNNNNNNNNNNNNNNNNNNNNNNNNNNNNNNNNNNNNNNNNNNNNNNNNNNNNNNNNNNNNNNNNGCUUACUUCGUCUUGAAGAAACCUAAGUUAAGGUAGACCAAACAACUUGCAAAAAUCAAAUGCUGACCUUAACUUAAAGAAAACAGCCCAAAAGUGUCAAGCAACUAACAAAAAUCAAGUAACAAACCAAAGAAAAAAAAGGUUGCUUCACCAUGAAGAAAUCAUGCACAAAGCUGUCCAGCCAAGCACGAAGCACCAGGUCAAGUCAGCUAAGCAUCAGGCCAGGUCAGCUAAGCACCAGACCAGGUCAACUAAGCACGAGGUCAGGUCAGCUAAGCACGAGGCCAGGUCAGCUAAGCACUAGGUCAUGUCAGAUAGGCACUAGACCAUGUCAGCUAAGCACCAGGCCAGGACAAUCAGGUCCACGCCUAGCUAGGACCAGGUCAGCUGAGCUUCUCAAACAGGCAGCUGAGCGUGGAACCAAGUCAGCUGAGCUGCUCAAGUAGGCAGCUGAGCGUGGGACCAGGUGAGCUGAGCGUCUGGCCCAUCAAAAAAUGAUUGCUAGGUCAACUCAUGGAACAUCCCACUUUUUCUUUGCUUGAAGGCCAAGAACAUGACCUCAUGGAAGACAUAAGACUUUGACAAGAAGGAGGAGGUGUCAUCAUGCAUGUAACCUAGCCCAGCAUAAGGGUCAAAUAGGGGCCAAAGUGGCUCUUCAUAGGGGCCAAUGGUCAGCAGCUUAGCUGCCAUACAAGGCAGCGGAGCGCCCAACACCUUGGCCUAUGUAAAGGCAUGAAAUUCUCAAUUCUAAGAUAUUUUACAUUCUUUCCUCCAUAUUUUCCUUUCAUUUUAGGUAGUUUUUAGGCUAGUUUAAGAGUAUUUUUUUCAUAUAAUUCAAGAGGAGAAAGGAGAAGGCAAAUGAGAUGCAAAAAUCCAUUUUGUAAUCUCACUUGGGACUUAAAGCAUUCAAUCUUUGAAUGGAUGGCUAAUGCUCCUACAACUUUCAUUUGGAUUAUGGUAUGUUUGUAUUUCUUUCUUCAUUUUAAUUCAUUUGAAUUUAAUCAUUCAAGUCGGUGCUUUGGUUAAUUUUAUUUGUUUGAGAAGUUAUUAAUGCUCUUUUUAGAUUGAUCACCUAAAAACUGAUUUCAAGUCAUAAAAAUUAUUUGUCUCAAACACUUAACAAAUAAACUAAGAAGUAGUUGUACUACUUAGUUUAUUUGCCAAGUUAAGCAUGCUUUUCUUAAGAUCUUAUAUUCAUUACUACUAUAAUAUUAGAGUCAUCAAUGACUAGAGUGUGACAACCUAGUCUCUUUAUGGACGUAAUAUUGUUUAGUAAUAAAUAUAAGUGAUCAUCAUUUUACCAUUUUAGGACAUACACUAAAAGGAGGAUUUCAGACCUUGGUGUUUGGGGUUAAUCAAAGUAAAACAUAAGAUCUUGUCUAAGUAGUUCAAAUCCAUAAGAAGUUGAGAAAUACUUUCAUCAUUCAAAAUGAUCUUGUCUCCUCAAGAAUUUGUUAAUAUUUAGUUUAUGUUUNNNNNNNNNNNNNNNNNNNNNNNNNNNNNNNNNNNNNNNNNNNNNNNNNNNNNNNNNNNNNNNNNNNNNNNNNNNNNNNNNNNNNNNNNNNNNNNNNNNNAAAAUAUGUUUAACUCAUUAUUUGUGCAUUGACAUAUUCAAAUGAUUCAUUCUAUUAGGCAAUUCCUUAUGGUUCGACAUAACCCUAUACUAUACUACAAUUGAAUCUUGAAAGAUGUGUAAAUUGUAAAAUAGUAAAGUGUUAUCAAUAAAUUUAUUUGUUGAAACACCUUUUAAUAUACAAAAGUGAUGAAACUAACUUACUAACUUUUAUUUAUUGUUAUUUACAUUCCACCAUUUAUUUAUUCUUUAAUACCAACCUUCCUUAAGGAAGAAGUUUGGUUUGUUAAUAAAAGGAACCCGAAGGGAGUAAAUAAAUAAAGGUCACUCAAAUUUAUUAUUCUUUUGUUCUUUAUUUAUUUAUUUGUUUCUAACAACUAACUAUUCAUCAUUUUUGUACAUUAGAAUACCAUUAAACCGGCGUUGGAAUUUAUUCCACAAAACCGAGAUAGUAUUCAAAGGUACUUAAUAAUUAUAUAAUAGGGGAUUUCUUCAAUACCAUUGUACCGGCGUUAGAAUUUAUUCUAACAAAUCCGAGAUGGGGCAAAGAAGGAAUAACCUAUUCACAUGAUUAUUAGAAGUAAGUUGUAACUGAAAUAUUCUUGAAACCAUUAUACCGGCGUUGGAAUUUAUUUCAACAAAGCCGAGAUGGUGAACAAAGAAUAAAACCGAAUUCACUUACUUAAUCAAAUAAAAAGGAAAACACACCGAAUUGAGGGAUAUUCCGCUUUCAAUAAAUUGGCGCCGGAUAAUUUGUUGAGAGGGGAAAACCUACUUCUCCUCCAGAAAAAUCUUUCAACACUUAAGCAUGCAAGAAUCUAGAGGCCAAGUGUUUUUAUAUUUUCUUAGGUCUUAAGAUGUUUGAUUUGGUAGAGUCUAGGCUAGGUGAACCUUAAAGGAAGUCUCACAACCUAAAAUUGAUCAAAACUAAAAGGAAACUUAUAUGCAUACAUAUAUGAUUUACAUGCACAUGCAAAAAUACAUGAUCAUAUGGUUUAGAUGUUUUAUACAGAGUUUUAAAUUAUACAUCAUUCAAAUCCAUGCAUCAUUCUUUUAUAAAUAACGUAGGAGGUUCAUUUUGCAUUAAAGUAUCUUUUUUAGAAACCCUUAAUCGAUUAAGGUUUAUUUAAUCAAUUAAACUAUGUAAAAUUGAGAACCCAUUAAUUGAUUAAGUUAAGAGUUAAUGAUUAAUGGUAGUUAUAGUUUCUGAAAUUUUGAUUUUUAAAGAAUCGCUAAUCAAUUAAGUAGAGUGUUAAUCGAUUAACUUUACCAGAAAAUAAAACUCUAUAUUAAUCCAACUUUUUCCAUUUGCAUCUCAUAACACAUCAAGAAUUUCACUAAGCUUAUACACUUUCAUAUAAAAAGAUAGAUUUCCCUAAGUGUUUUUGAAAACGGGAAAAAAGAGAAAACUUCAUGAAUCUCUAGAGAAGAUUUCAAGAAUUGUAUUGUCAACUUUACAAAAAAGUCUUGCAUCUCACAGUUCAAUACUCCGAGUUUGUGAGACUUGAAAAAGGUUUUUAGAUUCUGGAAUGGUGUAUAUUCAGUACAUCUUAGGUGCAAUUACUCGUUUUGUACAUAUUUAGACUUUGGUAUCAACAUUUCUCUUAGGUUUGUGGUAUUACCAAGUAGAAGAGAAAAGGUUUGGGAAAACCCUGGUUAGAAGUGGUUAGAUACCAUUAAAAGCUAGGUUCGCUAAACAAGAGUCUUGGUAGGAGAAGUUAGAAGUGGUUGAGCCGUCCAUUAGAAGUGGUGAGGAGUCAUUAGAAGUGGGUGAAUGCAAACCAUUAGAAGCUUGAAGUCCAAGAUUUUCUUGGUGGAAGUAUGUUUGUAAAACAUUGAUUUCCAUGGUGAAGAAAAUCUCUCAAUAUCAUAAGGGGAUGCAUGUAUGUAGUUUGCACGUAGACUAGCAAACGAACUAGGAUAAAAGUCAUUGUCUCAUUCUUCUUAUCCUUUAACUCUUUACGUUUUUGCAUUGUUUGAUUUACUUAACUUGACAAUCAUAUCAUUCUCUAUUAAGUGCAUUUUUUUUGUGUGCAUUAAUCGUGUCUUAUCGUAUGUAAGAGUGCAUAUUUUAUUUUGUGCACUAGUUAAUCAAUUAAAGAGUGAGGAAUUUUGUAAAAUCGUUUUGUUGAUGAACAACGGUAAUCGUGUAACGAACCGGACCACAUAUUCACCCCCUCUAGGUAAAGUAUAGAGUCCUUGUGUACCAAUAGGGACUGGACGUAGCUAUUAAAAGUGAACCAAUAUAGAAAUAUUUUUGUUAUUUUCUCUAUCCCUAAACUCUUUAUUGUUUUCGAUUAUUUCUGGCCAUUGGGACUUGAACUUUUUAUAAGUUAAUAUUUUGGAAACAUAUUAUAUUUGUCAUUAUUUUGUAAUUGUUUAUAAAAAAAGUUUUAUUAAAGAAUAUAUUUUUUAAACUUAACUAACACAAUUUAAUCUUUCUUUUGUUUACAUGUGCCAACUUCAUAAGAAUUUUGAUCUUUCAAUAUACUUAAUAUGAAUAAUCAUAAUAUCCUCAUCUUCUAGAAUUGAAUGUAAAAUAUGUUUUAGAUGUUGUCCAUUGUAACUACACAUAUAUCAUUGUGACACAUAGGAUUGUAAAGUAAGGUUUUGGUCAUUAAUUAUCACAUAUUAUUAUAUUUAAUACACUUUAAUAAAAUCAAACAUUCUUAUAAUAUCUUUAAUGAAUAAUAAAAAUUGUAAAUAAUUAUUCAACGAAAAUUAAAUAACUAUUUGAAUAUAAACUUAUACAAUCAUAAUAAGUUAUAAGAUGAAAUAUGCAUAUAAAAAUAUGUAGACAAAUUUUGUACAAAUAGAAAAUGAGUCUCCAAGACCAGUUAAUGAUUCAAUGUGUCAUAUAAGAAAGACACACGUAAUCUCACCCUAGACAUCAUAUGUCACAUAAGAAACACUAUUAAAGUUUUGAAAGGAAAUUUAAUGGAAUGGUUAUUUUCUUACAUUCAUGUAAGUUGAAGAUUGAAAAUUGCACAAAAAAAAUCAUGGGACUAAAAUCAUAUAGUUGAGAAACGAGACCAAAACUGCAUUAUGAGUUAUUUUGAAUCAUUACAUCCAAACAAAAUCAAAUGUCAUUAAAAAUAAUGAAAUACAAUAUAUUCAUUAGUUACCACAAUAUAAAACAUGCAUGUGAACAUGGAGGAAAGUAAUAUAGAGAACUUAAAUUAAAAUGCAAUAACUAAUGAAUAUUAAAUUUAAGGGAAAAUCUCAACUUUUAUAAUACAUUUUAAUAACAUUUAUCUAUUAAAAAUUAGGACACUUUACAAAAAUUAAGCUUUGAUCUGAUUAGAUAGAUAAAAAAUGAGGAUAUACAUAAUGUAAUUUAUUGAAGUUAUAAAUUCAGUUUUAUAAUAUAAGUUAGAUAUUUUGUCAUUUUACAUUUUUAAAAAUAGUAAUAAUAUAGUGAGGUAGUAGCAAAAAAGACUUAUAUCACAAAAUUUAGAUCUCAAACAUUAAUCUCUUCUAGAAGUGGUAAAAUUAUCAACAAUCCAUUCAAAUAUAAGAAAAUUAAAUUCAUCUAAAUUCACUUAUUAUAGCUAAUGAAUUGAAUGGAUAAUUUUAAUAAUGAAUGGAUUUGAUUUCAUCUAUUAUAUUCAUGAAUAUAUUCAUUUGAAUGAAUAAUCCAUCCAAAAAACAUUCACACGCGAUUUUUGUUUGCUUUUCAAUUUCAUUCACUAUCUCAAUUCUUAGUUUCUUGUAGUGUUUCUUGCUCUCACUUUGAUUUUUUAUUAAAUUGACAUCAAUCAUAUGACAUUUAGAUAUGAUUAGUAUUAAAAGUUUGUUCUUAAAUAUAUAAUAUAUAUAUAUAUAUGUUAAAAAAUUUACAUGUAGAACCUUAAAUGUCCUACGCUUGUAGGAUAUUGCAAAAAAAUAAUUUUUUAAAGUUCAAAAGUCAUUUUUUUAAAUGUUCUUUAAACAAAUUAAAGAAUAGUUUUCAAAAGUAACAUUUAUUAGUGUCUAAUUUGUUUUGACAUUUAAAAUUCAUGUAACUAUCAUUUAUAAUACUAACAUAGAUAUAACAAAACUAUGACUUUGUAUGGUGUUGUUAUUUUAUUUUAAAAUAUAGAUCAAUUUUUUUAAAAAGUAAACAAAGUUUUUUGUCACUUUUUACAAUGUAAGAAUUUAUACACUAUUAGUGCAUUAUUCAUCAUUCACUUGUAUUACUUUUAUCUUUUAUUUAAGAGUUAUGAUGGCUGAAAAUAAAAAGGUUGAUGAUACAAUAAUAUAAAAUCUCUUACAUUAUCGAUAAAUACAUUUUUUCUCUACUAAAACUAUAGUGAAAGUAAUUUAAAAUAUAUUAAAUAUACAUAGUAUUUAUAGUUUGGAUUGGUGACAAAGAAGAAAAUUAAAAGAAUGAACGCUUAAAAAUUAUUUUUAAAAGUGAUUUAAAAAAACUCAUUUUAAAAAUGCUUGAUUGAAAUAAAUGUUUUUAACAGAAUUAUUUUCUUGAAAAAUAUUUUUAGUUUUAAAUAAAAAAAUUGAAUUGAUAGGAUAUUAAUUUAUCCAAUCCAUUAAAAUAUAUUUAUGGAUAAAUUUAAAUUUAUCUAGUAAAUUUAGAUAGAGAUGAAUUGGACAAUUCAAAAUAUAAUUUGAAUUAUUGAUGAAUGACCUUUCAUCUAUUAAGAUCCAAAUUUAAAUUCAUUUAUUUCUUACUCAUAACCACAUGAAUUAGAUCAUUUAGAUGUUACUAGUUUAGUUUAGAAUCUAACAUUCGAAACAGCCAUUGCCUUCUAUCUUGUUGUCUUUACCAGUAAUGAUUCACCAAGAAAGUAAGGAAUAGUAAAAAGGAUGUGCCUAUCUCCUGCGACAAUACUUGUGAACCAAGGAAAGGGAGGAGGGGAGUACAUCUAUUGUUCAAAAAUGUGAUAUAUUAUAUACCAACUUGUUAUCUUUGAUUGAAAAAAAUAUUAAGUUAAAAAUUUAUGAAUGAAGUUUUUUCUUAAUCAAUUAAAACUUAUUGCACAUGGAGUGAUUCAUUAUUGGGACUGCUUCUACCAAAAAAAUUAAAAUUACUCCUAUCAUGUUCCAAGCUUUCUUAUCUUUUGUAGGGUGAACAUGGGUUGAGUGAGACUUGUCCUGGGUCCGAUCCUAAAUGUUGGUCAAAUAAUUUUUUGAACUCGGACCGACCCUAAACCUGAAGCUAACCCGACCCUAAACGUUAAAUGAGUCAACCUUUGAACCCGAACCCGAACCUAACCUUAGACUAGAUUAAAUAUAAUGCAAACUCAUUUUAGAUGAAAAUAUUUGACAUAUAAAAUUAUAUAUGUAUAUGUAUUAUAAUCAUGUAAUAUGAUGAAAAAACAGACAAGCAAGUAUAUUUUCGAUCAAAUAGAUGUCAUUAUUGUGUACACAAUUAAAUAUAGAUACAUACAAAUAUAAUGAGUAAAUGACAAUAAGACGGGUUGGGCUGAGUUAUGAUUGUUCCCUAUCCAGACCUAAAUAUUAACCAGAUUAAAUUUUUGAACUCAAACUCAACUCUUGAUCCAAUGAGAUCCAAUCCUAUUUAGAUCUCAUCAUAAUUCAAUCAAACUAGAUAAGCGGAUAGGGUUGGAUUUUGCUCAUCCCUAAUCUCUUGUCAUUGUAAACAAGAAUAAAUCAGAAUUAUAUUUAGAGCUUUAAAGAAAAACUGUUUCCAAGGAUAUGGUUGGGAACGUAGUGUGGGUGUCCCUCCUCCUACAAAUGAGGCAUUAGCAAUCUCCAGUGCUUAGAAGGAUGUUCCAAUAGCUUCUUCUACUACUUCAUUGCACGGAGUGUCAAGAGAUCUUGAUACCAACAUAUCUUCUUCUCCCAUAACAGUGAGGAGUUUUCCAUCCCCUGAAGCCUGGAUCCAUGGCCUUCCCAACAAACAGCUAUAACUGGGAUUAAUACCCAUGAUAUGGAAUACUAUCUGGAAAGUGAAGGGUCCUAUUUUUAUAGGCAACUCCAUUUCCCCCAUGACAUCCCUAUUGGAUCCAUCAAACGCCUUCACUACCAUAGAGCUUGGUCUCAUAUACGAUGCAUCGACUGAAAGUCUGAAUAAUGUCAUUUUCGACAUGACAUUGAGGGACGAGCCAUUAUCGAUAAUAACCUUACCAAUUAAGCAAUUCUGAUACAUUAUAGAGAUGUGUAGGGGACUAGUGUGUCCCAUUCCUUCAUAAGGUAUUUCCUGAUCACUGAAAGAAAUGUAAUUAUCAGCCACGAUGUUGUUGAUGAUACCACCAAGUUUGUCAGUGGUUAUGUCGUGGCUGACAUGUGCAUGGUUCAGUAUCUCCAUCAGCACUUUUCUAUUGGGUUCAGAACUCAUUAGCAGAGACAAAAUGGAUAUUCUGGCUGAAGUGGGGUUUAGUUGAUCCACGACCCUAUACUCACUCUGUUUUAUGAACUUUAGAAAUCACAAGCCUCCUCAUUAGAUACUUCCCCUUUAUCUCCAUGCUUAUGCAAUAGAUCAUUCAGAUUGGCCUCCAACUCAUCUUCCACAUGGAUACAUGCUUUCCCUUUUCCUUUAUCCUUGGCUAAGGCCUUUUCAGCAUCUGAGAGAACAUAAACACCUCCACUUCUAGUUAUCCGACUGUCCCCAACAACAUUGGUGACUUCUAUCUGUUGUCUCUGAAUUAUCUCCACUAUAGAUCCAAGGUACUACUUUAUCUGUCUUGUAAGGGAAAGGUCAUGGUCUCUCCUCUGCUGCAGGCCUUAGAACAGGCUCCAUCCUACUUAUGACUGGCACCCUUCGAGUUAUUUGUGGGUGUAACUGAGCAUUAUCCGGAAUGUUCAAUACAGGUUCAUAACGAGUAAUUAAUGACCUCAUGGUCCUUCUCAUAUCUUCCUCACUUCUUGUAGUAGCAUUAACAGUUUAAUACGAAGGCCCCCUCUCUAUUGUGAUCAAUCUCAUAUCCAGCAUCUUCUAUAACAAGAGCUUAAAUUCUGGACACUCCUCUAGGGUGUGACCCACUUCACCAUGCAACUCACAACUAGCUGAGUCUUCAUUCUCCACCAACCUUUCCACCAUUCCACGUUUGCACAUUUCCUGAAAAAUUACCCUCAUAGGUGUUCUUAUCUCAUCUGCCUCCCAAACGAAUGUGCUACCCUCAGCCUCAUCUAUAGCAUUCACACCCUGAUUCCUAUGGUUAGGUAAUGGAUUAUAGUCCACAUCUGGCACAAUGGGCUUGAAAUGUAGUUGCUUUGCAUUGAUCAGGCUUUGCACCUUAUGCCUUAGAGCCUAACAGUGUUCGAUGGAAUGACCAAUGGCCCUAGAGUGGUACUCGCAAGUAACAUUUGGGUUAAACUAGGGUCCGGGUGAUUCAGGCACUACUCCUAUUAUAAGGCUUAUCAUGCUCUCCCUUAGAAGAUGAGAGUAUAGUCCAACAUAGGGUAUUAGUAUUGGGUCGAAUUGUGGUCCUCUUCUCUCGUGUUAGGAUAAUUACGGUUUUGGGUUUGGUUUUGGCGGGUUUGGUAGGUUUGUGUUUGAUUAUAGUUUUGGCGGUUGUUAUUGUGAAUGUGUAGUUGAGUUGUGCGGAAGGUGUGGCGAUGUAUGAGGCCUGGUAUUUAGGGUUUUGGGUUUUAUAUCCCUUCGGCUCAAUGAAGACCGCAAGUGCUUCUCUCUCCUUCUUCUUCAUAAAGUUGGGCUUCUUGCCCGUGCCUGAUUUGAAUUGAUCUACUGCUAGCUUCCCACUCCUUAUGCGCCCUUCUAUUUUCUCCCCCACCUUAAUGAGUACCUUGAAGCUCGAUGCAACACUUCCCACCAAGUAAUCAUAAUAGGGCUCCUUCAAAGUAUCCACGAAGAUAGACAAUUGUUCUUCCUCCUCCAAUCUAGGUAUGACUUGUGACGUCAAAGCUCUCCAGCGUUGGGUAUACUCCUUAAAGCUUUCUUCUGGUUUCUUGGCCAUGCUCUGAAGCUAGGCCCUGUCAGGAGCUGCAUCUUCAUUGUACUUAUACUUCUUCAUGAAGGAAUUAGAUAAAUCAACGAAAUUUUUAAUUUGAGCCCUCUCCAAGCGGAUGUACCAGCCAACAACCGCCCCUGUCAAACUGUCUUGGAAGCAGUGAAUCAACAGUUUAUCAUUUCCGUGAUGACUUGUCAUCUUCCUAACAUACAUAUUCAGGUGAUUUUUAGGGCAAGAAGUACUGUCGUACUUCUCGAACUCAAGAGUUUUAAAUUUUGGUAGAAACACUACAUCUGGUACCAGGCAUAUCUCAAAUGCAUUUUUUACAUCAAGAAAGUUUGUGCCCUCGAUGGCUCUUGUUAUCGCUUUAAUAAGCUCAAACUCUGUCUUCUCUUGGCUUGAGGAGUCAUCUGGGGUACCCUUGUUUAUCUUAGUUUCAGCCUGGUGGCUUGUGGACUUGCCUUUAGGAGGAAGAUCGUGAGUAGGAUCUUCAUCUUUCUCGUUGUCGUCUUCCUCGGCUGAAUGUUGUUCUUCUUGACCAUCAGCAGUGUCUUCAUACCUUAUGACAACACCCUUACGACGGUUGGCACUAGUAACUAUCUUUGGACCCACCUUUUGUGCGGACUGCAGUUGUCUCGCACCUGGCGCAGUGGUAUCUUCUUCUGAGCCUCGAGCCUUUUGCAUAUCCAAGAUGAUUUUCAUCAUCUGAUUCAUUUUCUCUUUGAUUUCAGCAAGCUCGGACCUGUUAUCAGUGCUACUGGAUUCUUGGUCUGCCAAUAGGUUGGAUUGCAGUCUCGUGUGGUAAGGAUGUCUGGGAGCAAUGUUUAGAUGAUACUUGAGGAAACAAUGUUUUAUUAUUUAAAUGAAGAAAAUAAUGAUGCAUGCAAUGGGUUUUAUUUUUCCUUUUUUAAAAAAAAAUUCAAUUUCAUUUUGAGGUUCGGUAUAGCAAGACGUUUUGACCCGCAGUUGGUGACCGUGAGGCAUGCCCCCGUUGGCCUUUCCUGCGUUGAUGACAACUUUAAGUUUUGGAUUAUCAUUGCAUCUACAUUCGUUCUUUUAAUGUGAGUUACUAACAUUAAACAUCUUGCCCUACACUUGGUAAUUUGAGAGCGUACUCUACAAGACCUUAUGCAGUUGAUGGCGAUCUAAGAGAACACGCAAAGUUUCGGACCUAGAUCACAUCUAAAUACAAGUUGUUAUUAUCUCUCUCAUAUGAUUUUUUCUCUUUUUUUGUUGAUGUUGUGGUUCAUAACAAGAAAAACGACCUCUGAAUAUUUGCACCACAUUGAAUAAUAUAUUUCAUAACAAUAAGAAGCUUGGUAGCAACAAGAAUCUGAGUAGCAAUAAUGUAUUAUUUUAUUCCUGGAAAAAUAGUAAUAAUAGAUAUUACAAGACUAUAUUUUUCUAUGUCAUGUACUCAAAAUUCCCUAUUUGCUAAGACCCUCCAUCUUCUUAAGUCUCUGGCUACUUUCUUGCAAGACUCCUAGAAUGCUUUCAUAGUUGGGAGCAGCUCUGUCUCUGGAUACAUCUCUAGUUCCCUCUUGGCAUCAAAGAAUGUCCCCAGCCGAUCAUCGACAAAGUCCCCAAGGCCAUCAACCAUAUUUUUGCAUCUAUUUUCCUAUUGAUAUUUUUCUUCUUGGCUUUCUUGGACUAUUUCCCAAUUUUCUGACCAUGCCUCCUGUUUGGCUGUCACUUCAUCAUAUGAUCUUUGGAGGUACCAGAGCUUCCUCGAAAGAUGACUCUCUCUAUUACUUGCAACUGUUAUGGAUUCAUGGUGAAUUUUCUACGUAUCUUCCAAAAUUGUCUUGAGAUGGUCUACCUUCUUCAUUGUCUCAUCAAGUGCAAACUGAUAAUCUUUUAACUAUGCCCAUGUCUCAUUCUCAUUUUGUUGACUUUCGUGGAGGGCUGCUUGCAAUAGUUCACAUGAUGCUUCUAGAUCUUUUUUAUCGGCUUGUGCAUCAUUGAUAACGCGAUUUCGAGCCUUUAUCUGUCAAUUGAAGUCAGCUAGUUGGACAUCUUUUUCCUAUACUCUUGAUCAGACGGUAUUUUUUAGAUUGAGAACACAUCUGAGCAUAAUCCCUUUUCAGACUAGCUUCUUCCUUUCUUAAUGCCACCAUGGUCUUAUUAAGCUUCCCUAUGGUUAGCUCGUACUUCUCAAUUUUGCAUUGGGCUUCCUCUAGUUUCGCAUAAGAGAUUUUGAACUGAAUCUUUAACAACUCAUUUUUUAAGGGACCAGCUGGUUCAUGGGGUGGGAGACCUUGGCGGGAUGACUUCACCUUCCCUUCUCUCACUGCGCCACAAGUUGUAUUCUUCAGUGUAGAAAGUUUGAUGCUCUCCUAACUCAUUUUUUUCAUAGAUGUGGAUGUUCUUCAAUGCAUUCCUUACCAUGUCCAGGGUUUCUUUUGAUAGUUUCUUUGUCCUUGUACCAAAUCAUGAAUCCCUGCAAUUGCUCCUGAGGGACUGGCAUCAUGCCCCAUUUCAUCUGUCCAAGUACUAAAGCAGAGGUGACAGUAAUACAUCCCCGAGGUCCCAUGAGCACUAUAUUGGGAUAGUUUCCACAUAAGUACAUGACUUCAUCCUGCUUAUCAUACAUAGUGCAUUUAGUCCCAAAAUUUCUAGGGGUGACAUCCUUGAAUAGUGCCUCUCAGUCAGAUAGUUGCAUAGGCUGGAGCUUGGUGUUUCUGAAUAGACGAAGAGGAUUGAUUGUCCAAUCUAGAUAUCGAUCAUGCUUGAACCUGGUCACCAUCCAUACAUAAAGUAGUUGUGCACAACAUCUGAUCUUAGGAAUACCCUUUUCGAGACUUCUCUAGAGGGUGAGAAGGGUGUCUGCUAGAACGGCAGGAACUGGGUUGACUCCUAACUUUCUAAACUUGACUAGGACAUCAAUCGUGUACCGGUCCACCAUAUCACUAACAAAGGGGAAGAGGAGUCUACCAUAGAUGGCUAAUGCAAAUGUUGGUUUAAACGAACUCCAAUCUUCUUUCUCCACCACUUGGUCAAGAUGCUUUUUCAUAAAGCUCCACUUCAAUCCAUGACAAAGCCCUUGCUUGAUAAUUUAAGAAGUAGUUGGAGUACGACUAUCAAUUCUUCAAUGAGACCUUCAAUGACAUUUUGUGUGCCAGUGGACAGAUAUACCUUAAGCCGACUCUCUAGUGGGAUGUCCAGAAGAAUAUCAUACUCUUCAAUUGUUGGAGAAGCGUCUACAUUUGGAAACUCGAAAAUAUGCAGGGAUAUAUUCCAGUAUUUUGCCAUGGCCCCCAUAGCAUCUAAAGCACCAGCAUCAAUAGGAACGAGAAGAAGAUCUGCCAGUUUACCAUACUCUUUUGCAAACUGAGUCAUAACAUCUUUAGAGACUUUGGCGAGGAGCUCCACCAAAUGGCCUACAUCAAAAGUCUGUAAUUCAAACUUCACUUAAUAUUUUGAAGAUAGAGCGUUGUUAGAACCCACAGUUUUAGAAAUAGCCCCCAUGUCUUGUUAUACCAAAAAACCUUCAGCUGAAAAGGUGCAUGUUUAUUAAUUAUGAUUAAAAUUGUUUAUAGAGUAAAUUACACGGAACUCCCCUCAGUUUUAAUGAAACUACAUGUACUACCCCUCUUUUUUUUACAGUUACACAUACCUCCCCUUGAUCUAACACUGUUAACCUAGAGUUAAGAUGAAUGAUAAAAUACUAAACUACCCUUGAUUUCAAAAAAAAACACCAUUCUUCUUUUCUUUCAACAGAAUACUUCAUCUUUCUCAAGAUAUGGUUCAAGGAAAUCAAAAUCAAAUUUGGCAACUGAGUAUCACAUGAUUAAGAGGUGAGUAGAAACAAUAUCACAUUUUUAUUCUAUUUACAUGUCUUCUAUUGUUUCUAUUUUUUGGUUGUUUCUAUUUUAUUCCCAAAUGUUCUUCAUUCAUUUUGCCUUUGUCCAAUGUGGAAUCAGUUCUUUGAGAACUAAAGUAGUGCAUCAAUAUUUGGCUUCUAAUCAUAGUUCAUUUUUGUAUAUUCAUAUAUUACUGUAAUGUUGUUUUGUUUUUCUUGUGAAUUUUCUUUUUUCAUUUUUUUUCAUUUCCUUGUACUCUAUUGUGUUAAAUUCUGAGAAAGUAUAUGGCUCUUUUAUCUUGAAUUUUUUGUAUUCCAAUUCUUCUAUUUUAUCUCUCUAUUGUUUAAUAAAAUGGUUGAAAGAAUUGUGAGUCAUUUUCUUUCUCAUAUCAAAAACUCACAACCACACAAAUUUCUUGUCACAACAAUGGUGAUGGUGAAACUUUGUUCAAUCAGUAUAUCACUCGUUUUAGAAUUAACAAUCACAAAUUUGUACUAGCACAUAUUGAGAUGUGUCGUAUAUUAAGUAUUAACAUAGAAGUAUAAAUCAAAUCCAAGACCAUGAAUAGUUGGUUAUCUCAGAAUAAUUGUUUAACAUCGGCAUCAAGGUAUGACACACCGGCAUGGUGGUUGUCUUUUAAAUAGGAAAAGUCUCUUGUCUCCAUCUAACAUCAGUAUCAAGCAUGCUACCAAGUUCCAAUGUAGGGAUCUAUAUUUUGAAGAAUAAUUAUUAUCAUUGUUAUAUUUUACCUUAUUUUUUAUUAUAUUUUUUAAUGUGUAGGUAAAAUGACCGAAGUGGUUGAGAACCAGGAUAGUAUCAUUGAUGAAGUAGUAAUCACUGAUGAUGAGGACUAUUUGGAGGAAAUAGAUGAGAGUGAAAGUGAGAGUGAGGAAGUGAAUGAAAGUGAAGGUCUUGAUAGUCGAAAUGACAACGAUAGAUUUAAUAUCUAUGAUGAAAAACUAGAUUUUGGUGCGGGGGUUCAUUCAGGUGAUGAUUUAGUUGAAAUUUAUGUUGAGAGAAAGGUGGUUGGAGGACAAUUUAAACUCCAAUCUGAUGGUAAGGUGAAACUUGAAACCAAUAUGUUAUUUUUGAAUGUUCAUCACUUUAGGGAGGUGUUGAAGGACUAUGUCAUACAAGAGGGAUUUAAGGUGAAGAGAUUGAAAAAUGAAAAGGCAAGAGUCACUGCUAUAUGUGCAGCUAAGGGUUGUGGUUGGCGGAUUCAUACAUCACCUACCCCUGACCAAGUAGCCUAUAAAAUUAAGACUUAUACUGGUGAGCAUAAUUGCAUUAGAACUACUAAGAACUCUAAUGCAACUUCAGUUUGGAUUGCAAAGAAACUAUAGAGUAAGUUGGUUGCUGACCCCAACAUGAACUACUCAAGCAUGAAACAAGAUCUACUUGAACAACAUGGCCUUUAACCAAGUAAACAGAUGCAAUUGUAUCGUGCCAAGAGAAGGGUACAUCAAAAUAGUAGGGGAAUUCAUGCAUCUUCAUACAACGACUUACCAGCUUGGGCUACUAUUGUUAGAGAAACAAAUCCUGGGAGUAAAGUGACGAUAGAGUUUGCAAGGGUCACAAUUGAUAGGAACCCACAAUUUAAACGAUUAUUUGUAUGUCUUGAUGCAAUGAAAAAAGGAUUUGUUAAAGGUUGUAGGCCUUGGUUUGGGAUUGAUGAAUGACAUUUAAAAGGUCCUUAUGGAGGAAUUUUAUUAGCUGUAGUUGCCCUUGAUGGAAAUAAGAGUAUAUUUCCUAUUGCAAUUGCUAUGGUAGAAGUGGAGUGUAAGGAUUCGUGGAUGUUUUUUUUAACCUUAUUAACUGAAACUUUGCACACUGUUCCAGAAUGGAAUGAGGAUAAACUAACCAUUAUAUCAGAUAGACAAAAGGUUAGUGUGUUUAAAUUAUAUAUCUCCCUGUAGUGAAUAGAUAAUGUCUCUCUAAUUAUUGCUCUUCUACUUAAUUGUUGUUUAAAAAUAACAUGUUGUGGGAAAUGAAGUAAUUCAGGAUAGGAUGUUAUAUGUUUUUUUAAUAUUUUGGUUUAAGUUAGAGAUAUUAAAUGAUUCUUUAUUUGAAUUCAAGGGCUUAAAGUGAGAUAUUUCCAAAUGCACAACAUAGGUAAAUGAUUAAUUAUAAUUUUGUAUUGUUAAUUUUUUAAAAUACUUUAUUAAUCACUACUUGUUUUUGUUAAUAGGUUUUGUUGCAACCACUUGUUGAAUAACUUCAAGCUUCGAUUCAGGUCUUCAAUACUAACAACAGAGUUUUGGGUAGUUGUAAUGGCUUAUAAUGAAACCAUGUUUAAUAAAGCCAUUGCUACUAUGAGAAGAAUAAAAAAUGAUGUUCUAGAAUGGUUGCUAGAUGUUGAUAGGCCUAAAAGUACGUGGGCAAGGCAUACAAUUGAUCCAAUAUGUAAAAGUGAUCAUGUGACCAACAAUGUGAGUGAAGUGUUUAAUGCAUGGAUUGUAGAUGAUAGAAAGAAGACUAUAUUGUCUAUGAUGGAGUCUAUUGUGUGUGGAUUAAUAGGAACAUUUCAAAGAAGGUUUGCAGAGGGUUGUGGUUUUGAGCACAACAUAACUCCUAACAUUCGGAAAGUUUUAAACACUAACAUGCAAGAUGGGAGGUUCUGUACAGUGACUCAUGCAGGGAGAGAAGAAUUUCAAGUGAUUGAUGGACACACGACAUUUUUGGUUAACUUGAUGUUAAGGUCGUGCAGUUGUAAUUAUCGGUUGGUCUCUGGCUUGCCAUGUAAGCAUGCUUGUUCUUGGAUUACUUAUAUGCGAGCGAAUGUGGAGAAAUAUUAUGAUGAAGCUUACUGCAAAUCAAAAUAUUGUCUCACCUAUAAUGAAAUAAUCCACCCUAUGCCAGAUAUUGAUGUUAACAAUAGGGGAAGUAUUAGCCAAAUUGACCCCCCACCUUUGAAGAGACUACCCGGAAGGCCUAGGAGGGCUAGAAAGAAAAGUGUUGUUGAAGGGCCAUUAGGGACUAACGAUGCAAGGAGGUCACACACAUGUAGGUGUAGCACUUGUAAUGAACUUGGACAUAACUACCGCACUUGUCAGAGAACUCCAAUCCAAGGAAAAAAAAGAAACAAAAAGGUAUAAUGUGAAAUUUCAUUUACUUAUAAUGUCAUGCAACAUUGUCUCCUAACUUGCAUUGUCCUGAUUAUGCACUAGGAAACUCAAAACAUAAAUUCAACACAUGACUCUAAUGUUAACGUGCAAGCUGCAACCUCAACCCAGGUAUAAAAAGUGAACUUAAUGAAUUUGGAUGCAAAUGUGUUUAUAAAUUUUUUACUCAACACCUACCAUUUUUCCAGGAGACAAUUCUUAAUCAACAAGGUAAACUAACUCAAGAUGUUGCAAGUGAGCAUGGUAAAAAGGAAUGAAGGUCAUAGAAGGCAUAUGGAAAUGCAUUAAAAAAGGAAGCAAACCACAUAAGAACACGUCAUAGUAGUUGCUAACGGAGAUAGUUUCUUUUUUAGUUUAGACUAUACAUGGUAGUGCAUGUGUGUCUUUUAAUAUUUGUCUCAUUUAAUAUGAAAACAAAUAACUCAAUACCAACAUUUAGAUUGAUAUAUAUAUAUAUAUAUAUAUAUAUUUAUUUAUUUAUUUAUGUGUGGAUUAAUAUUCACUAUAAUUCUUUCAAGCAUUUCAUCAAAUAAGUUGUGAGCAAUAUAUUAAAAUAUGUUUACGUCAAGUCUAGAACUUUGUGUCUUUCUAGCAACAAGUUUAUGGAUAGUUGAAUUUAUAAAAUUUUGAAUAGCAUCAUUGCAAUGUUAUAGCAAUAUUGGUCAUUAUAACAAAAGAGUAAUAUUAAAACAAAUACUGCAAAAAUGUGAUAUGCACAUGACACCCUUAUUUAACAGCCAACUAACGGUAGAGUAGUUUGUGUAACAUGCAUAUAUAAAGGAUGGGAGGUUUAUGUAUGUACAAAAAAGGGAGGGGUGGUUCGUGUAAUUUUAUUAAAACUCAGGGGAGGUCUAUGUAAUUUACUCUUGCUUAUAUAAUUAAAAUGAUGAAUAAAUAUUCAAUGAUUUAUGAUUAAUGCAAUAAUAUGUGUAAUGAUUAGUUCAACAUAAAAAGUUAUGAUAUGAUUAAUAUAAUGAUAUAUGUAAUAAUUAAUUUAUGAUAUUAAGUAGUGUAAGUCCCUUUUUAGGGUGGUGGACCGUGUCUUGUGAGAUAAUAUAGUUCAUUACAAUUUAAACUAAAUAUCAUGUUAGGAUAGAUAUUUAUUAUGUUGUCAAGGCUUAGUCUAAGUUUUUUCGAAAGGUGGACAAAACUUACCAUCGGGCUGGGGGCCAUCAUUGAAAGUGAGGAUUGUAUUUUGAGGAGCAACCCCAAAGUUUUACAAAAAUUAUGUUAAACCGUUUUUUUAAAGAAAGAAAACUACCUUAGGGUAUGGAACCCUUUGUGGGUAUGCAAUUAUAGUGCAAUAGAAAAAAUGAUGGAUUUUGUAAUUAUUUAGAAUGUUAAAUCUCAUUUUAUGCAUAUAUGGAUGUAGAAUCAGGUGAACAAAAUUUGAUUCCAGUGUCCUAUACAUGGUAUUCUUAUAGGGUUUUUGAUAGACUAAAAGUCACAACCUUAUGGCAAUGUACUAGGUCUCAUUAAAAUGGAUUCGGUAAAGGUUCUAGACUUCUAGAUCACCAAAUUGUCCCCCAUCUUGAAAGAAAGGAGUCCCAAUAUCCUAGUUUAGAAACAAAAGGAGUUAAGCCCCUCGAGCGUCUAACUCACGAUACCAAGACAAUUCGGGUGGUUCAUUAUGCUAAUACCAGGAGACAAGUCUAACACCAGUAAAGCACAUGUCCCUCUUAUCUUGACCUUAACCUCUAACAACCCGGGUAUAAGGCGUAUACGCGUGUAAUUCAAAUGUAUCGUGUGUGUGAAGAAGCGACAUUUUUAAAAUCAAUAAACUUUCACCCCAAAGCUACAAAAAAAAAUGAUGAACAUAUAUAAUAAUAUUAAAAUUGAAGCGUUAAAUAAAACUUGUAAAAGAAAAUUUAUUUCAUUACCAUUGUUUUUUAUAUUUAAAAAUAGACAAAGGAAAAAAAGGUAUUUAAAUCAUACAAUUGGCUACAACUGGGUUUGACUCUCUACAAAAAAUUCCUCAGCAGAGUCGCCAGCUGUCGCGUCCCGAUUUUUGGCUACGCGACCUCUUAGAGUCGCCACUAAAAUGAUCUUUAUUUUAAAUGUUCUGUUUUUCUUUUUAUGAAAAUUAUCAUUUUUUAUUUAAUUACAGAAAUAAAAAAAUAUAUUUAACUAGUUAAUAAAAAUAAGAGAAAUAAAAAAGGGUUAAUUGAUUAUUAGCUUUAUUAGGAUAUUAUUACUCUUUAUAGUAUUCACACAAAAAUAAUAAAAAAGAAAGUAUUAAUUCUGUGAAAAUAUUUUUUGUAUUAUUUAGCUUACUGUCAAAAAAAAAGAUAAUAGUUUCUUUUUUAUGAGUGAAAUGUGGUUAUUAUUAUCUUAAAAGAUAAAUAAAUUGCAUUUGGAUAAACAAUAAUAGAAUUAAAUACAUGAGAGAGUAAAGAUUCAGUGCAGAUGAGCUUAAUGUACCAAUACACGUGUUGACCAGCUACUGGUUUAGAAAUAUCGUGCACAAGAGUUCGCCACAUGUCAGUAUGGGGUUGGACAAGCCUAAAGGUGCACUGUGCUUAUGAUGCACCCACACACACACUGGAACGGAGGCUGUAGAGAUGUUGAUCUGGUACAAACGAUUCCACUCGAGCACCAUAGACUCACUUAGUUGUCUCGCAUGGAUUGGACCAAAGGUGGAUGCACUACGUCUACGAUACGCACGGCGGCACUUGAUCAAACACUGGCAUGAGGUGUCUGGAUCCCUUGUGAUGCGUUCACGUGAGGAAUGGUGAGCCCGCCUACGAGGCACGAUCUGAUUAGGUAAGCAAACUUAAACACGCUGACUGGAUAGCCGCGAGGAGCAAUUGGAUUGGCUAGUGAAGGAGUUGUAUGGUGCACACGGUGGAACCGACCACACUGAAACGCUCCUACUCUCUGAAAUAUUUUUCUCUCCUAUGCGCAGUUUUUUUUGUAGAAGCUAUUCCCUCCUCUCUUUUUUCCUCUCUUUUCUCUCUAUGUAGUUUCUUGUAUUUUUAGCAACCAAGAGCCAAAACAAAACCUAACUAUUAACUCUAUUGAUAAAUAAAUUCUAAUCUAAUCUAAUCCUAAUAAAGUGCUAACAACUCACUACCUACUAACCCCACAAUCUCAUAAUAGUAUGCACCCACCAAAUCAGAUUUGACUUGGUGUAUAUAUAUAUAUAUUUUUAUUUUAUUACUUUUUUAUUUAAAUAUAUUUUAAAUUUGGUUUAUUUAUUAAAUUAUUUAUAUAUUCGAAUUAGAUAACAAAAAAAUAUUUUAUUGUUUAUUUGGAAUUUAAAAUCCCAUUUAUUUUACUUGUUUUUUCUUAUAAAUUCAAUUUUAAUUAUAAAAAUUAAUAAAAAAUAUUUUCAUUAUCUUUUAUUUAUUUUAUAAUAUAAAUUCAAAAAAUAAAUAAAUAAAUAUAAUAAUAAAAAUAUUUUUAUCAUUUUAUGACAUUUGAAAUAUCUCAUUUAAAUUCAAAAUAAACUCUAAAAUUAAUAAAUAAAUAAAAAAUUAUUUUGAGAAAGUAAUUAUUUUUAAAAUAUGUUGGGUUUUUUAUGUGCCGGGCAAAAAUAAGUAUUCACACUCCUUAUACUUUAUUAGUUUAUAAAAUUGGUCCUACGGAAAAAUAAAGUUGAAUUAUGAAGAAAAAAUAUUUAACUUCAAAGGAGUUUGCAUGAUGAAGCUUCAUUAUUUCUCAAUUGCAAAAGGAGGUGCCACGAUAGAAUCAAAAGAACAUUGAUUUUCAAACAGCGAGAGCUUGUGACUAGAGAUAGCAAAACGAGCAUCGCCCGCAUUUUUUUGCAGGCAGGGCAUACAAAAUAUGUUUAUUUGCCUGUUUCGCCCGGCCCGUUUUGCCCGCCAAGUUUGCGGGCAUUUCUGUUAGGCAUGCAGACGGCCUGCGGGCAGCCCAUAAACAUAAUUUAAGAAAAAAGUAAGAAAAUUUUAAAUAAGUUAUGAUGUAAUGUGAUUUUUAAUCCAUAAAAAAAUUGUAAUGUAAUUUGUUAAAUAUCAUAUAAAAUAUCAAAAUUUUGUUAAUUUCAUUUUAUCUAUUAUAUGAAUUUUUAUUUUUUUUAAUUAUUCAACAAUGUUUGCGGGCCGCCUGCUAGCCCGUUUUAAAAUGGGCAGGGCAUUGAAUUUUGUGUGUUAAUCAAUGCGGGCAUGCUCGCGCCCGCUUAAAUUUUUUGGGGCAUUUGCGGGCGCGGCGGGCUAAACUGGUCGGCCGACCCGUUUUGCCAUCUCUACUUGUGACAUACUACUAUAAUGGCAACAAUAGUUUCGUUGACCCAUCAGUUUUCUUCGAGCAAGUGACCAAUGACCAAGCAUAGACACAGAAUAGCAACAAAGAGUGUCCCUGAUCGUGAGCCAAAUUCCUCACCAUAUUGGCUACCAAAUGGCACCAUAAUAAUUACUUAUGUUUUGUUUUAACAGUUACACUUAUUACUCGCACCACCUUUUCAAGUUUGUUUAGCUAAGCACCUAACUUUAUAUACUAGAACAAACACAUAAGGUGGGGUGCUGGGCUUUUUUCAAUCUGCUAAAUCUGAGUGUGAAAAAUAUAUUGUGAUUACUAUGAAACUUUGGUACAUUGCGAUUACUCAUCACUGAGGCACAAGGUACAUGACAAGAAAUAAAUCAAGUUCAAAAAACUACACAACUAUUUCCUGGAAUCACGCUUUCAUCUUUACCUUCAUUUAAAAAUUCUUCUUCUAUUGUAACUCGAGAAUUCACUGUGUGAAUCAUCUCUGAAGAAAUUGAAGUUGUUGACCACGGUGUGAAAGGUGUGCAAAAGGGUGAGGAAGUGCGAUUUGAUCUGUGGCAAAGACAAUGGUUGGGAAUAACAACAAUCUUCCAUCAAUGAGCCUACAUGUUCUUACGGAGAAGAAUUGGGAUCGUUGGAACACACAGAUGAAGGUGUU
rnacentral:lncRNA from 1 species